ACAGGUCUGAUAAUGUGGGGGCAUAAUGGCUGAGCUGUUCUUUGAGCUCGUCCAAUCAGUGGGCGCUGCUGGCCGCCACGGCCGCUGCAUGUGGAAACAGAUAUCCACAGGCGCAGCGAGUGGAACCGCGCCACUGCCUGUCAUUAGCGGGAGGGCAGAAAGAAAGUGGAAAUAUACGUGACCCGGGAUUAGGAUUCGGAAAAAAAAACAACACAAAACAACAGAGGACACGAGUAAUACCGCAAGGAACCCGUCCUACUUUCUAUUGCAUCACAGGAGGCGAUUAAUAGGCGCUGUCUAUGCAGGACGACCUCCCUGGCUUAAACCCCCGGGCUUAAAGUUCGGAUUUGGAAAAAAGCAGGCGAACAUUGAAAAAGAAAAAGAAAAGAGAAACGUAUCAAUCUGCAAAAUCCAUAAUGCGAUAAACAAACGCGUUCCGCCGUUUUCUUUAUGAAACGUGGUCCGAGCGUGUUCUCUGGAACAGCCCCAGCCGAAGGAGUUAAAGUGUUGUUCAACACGAGGCCAGCGGGGUGAUACACAGGCAGGCCUGCUAUGACGUCAUUGCCGGCAUCCAGGCAGCUGUGGGAAAGCAGAGAUGUGGACCACAUGAUUACACACAUCUCUCAGGUCCUCUUCUGCAGUGGUACAGUCUGUGCUUUCGUUCUCAAGCGCUACUCGGAACCGAAAACAACGGAAACACAAUCCUGUUACUUGGCACAAACUCCACCCCCUCUCCUUCCUGUUCCCGCCCCGGCUCCGUUGCUAUUGGUCGUUGGGGACAAGCCUGCGGUUCUGUGGGAUCCUCCCGUGUCAAAAGACAAGUUUUACCAGCGUCUCACUUGCCAAAACCCCUCAAUUUGUCACUUCCCCGAGUCAGAUAGUGUGUUCUGGCGCAUGCAAGGUGCUAGGGAAGGUAGAGCAGGUGGAAAAGGCAGGGAGAGAGAGAGAGAGACCAGGAGAGAGACAUGGGGUGAAAGAAAGGGAGGGAAACAAGGAAGGAGAGAACGGGAGAGAGAGAGAGAGAGAGAGAGAGAGAGAGAGAGAGAGAGAGAGAGAGAGAGAGAGAGAGAGAGAGAGGGAAAGCUAGAGAGAGAGAGAGAGGGAAAGCUAGAGAGAGCGAGAAAGAGACUGGGAGAGACCAGAAUGAAGAGAGCCUGAGAGAGAGGGAGAGAGAGCGAGAGAGAGACCCUAGAGAUGGAGGACCUGUGGUCGGUGGCUUGCGGUGUCUCACAGGUGUGAAGAGUACCAAACCACCGAACUGACAGAGACAGAAACCAACACAGAACUAAAUCUACUGUUUAGGUAUUGUGUUACCUUGGUAAUUCCGACAGACGGUAUACUUGAAUGAUUGUAAUGACCACUGGUCAGCACAGUCUCACCCCAGGCCAGGCCCGGACCACAAGCCCCUUAAGUCCGCGAACCGGCGUGACCACACUAGUUAAACACACAUGCACACCACUCUCA
ensembl:lncRNA